rnacentral:rRNA from 1 species
CACUCCUUGAUUAAAAAUUUUUAUAAGGAGCCCUGCCUGCCCAGUGACCUUGUUAAACGGCCGCAGUAUUUUAACUGUGCAAAGGUAGCAUAAUCAUUUGCCUCUUARAUGGAGGCUGGUAUGAAUGGCAAGACGGAAUUUAACUGUCUCUUUUCUUUACCUUUAAAUUAUUAUUUUUGUGAAGAAACAAAAAUAGAAUCGCAGGACGAGAAGACCCUAUUGAGCUUAAAUUAAAAUAAUAAAAAUUUAAACUAAAAUUUUUAAUUAAUUCAAAUACUUAGACUAUUAAUUAAUUUUAAUUAAAAUUUUUAUAAAACUUAUUAUUAAUAUUUUGAUUGGGGCAAUCAUGGAGCCAAAACAACCUCCACUAUAUUUUAAUUAACAAAAAAUAACAAUUUUAAUAUUUUUUAUAAAUAUUUUAAUGACCCACUUA